GUGAAGAUGGCUCAGUGGUAGAGCGCUUGCCUUACAUGCAUAAGGCCCUGGGUUUGAUUCCUCAGCACC
rfam:Dipodomys ordii contig_46393, whole genome shotgun sequence.